rnacentral:rRNA from 1 species
CGCGUAGGUGGUUCGUUAAGUUGGAUGUGAAAUCUCCGAGCUCAACUCGGAAAUGGCAUUGGAAACUACCCUGCUGGAGGGUCGGGAGGGGGGACUGGAAUUCUCGGUGUAGCAGUGAAAUGCGUAGAUAUCGAGAGGAACACCAGUGGCGAAGGCGAGUCCCUGGACGACUCCUGACACUGAGGCACGAAAGCUAGGGAGCAAACA